rnacentral:rRNA from 1 species
UACGUAGGGUGCAGGCGUUAAUCGGAAUUACUGGGCGUAAAGCGUGCGCAGGCGGUUGUGCAAGACCGAUGUGAAAUCCCCGGGCUCAACCUGGGAAUGGCAUUGGUGACUGCACGGCUAGAGUGUGUCAGAGGGGGGUAGAAUUCCACGUGUAGCAGUGAAAUGCGUAGAGAUGUGGAGGAAUACCGAUGGCGAAGGCAGCCCCCUGGGCCACUACUGACGCUGAGAAGCGAAAGCAUGGGGAGCGAACAGG